rnacentral:tRNA from 1 species
GCCGAGGUGGCGAAAUUGGCAGACGCGCCAGACUUAGGAUCUGGUCCCGAAAGGGGUAUGAGUUCGAAUCUCUUCCUCGGCA